ACUAAUUAUAACAACCAGGGGCGGGAUAUCCUGCCCUCCCGAUGAUUGUCACAGCACGGACAGACUAUACGGCGGCUGGUCGUUCCCCAGCCGCCGCGAAUACCGAAACAAGCUGGACAACCGUCUUCGAGGGUAGCACUGGCUACCCUUUUUUUUCCAGGA
rnacentral:sRNA from 20 species